GCGCGGAAAGUUGGGUGUGAAAUCCCUCGGCUCAACCGAGGAACUGCGCCCAAAACUACCGUGCUCGAGGGAGACAGAGGUGAGCGGAACUUAGGGUGGAGCGGUGAAAUGCGUUGAUAUCCUAAGGAACACCCGUGGCGAAAGCGGCUCACUGGGUCUCUUCUGACGCUGAGGGCACGAAAGCUAGGGUAGCGAACGGGAUUAGAGACCCCGGUAGUCCUAGCUGUAAACGAUGUGAACUUGGCGUCGGUGGGUUCAAAUCCAUCGGUGCCGAAGCUAACGCGAUAAGUUCACCGCCUGGGGACUACGGCCGCAAGGUUAAAACUCAAAGGAAUUGACGGGGCCCCGCACAAGCAGCGGAGCGUGUGGUUUAAUUCGAUGCUACACGAAGAACCUUACCAGGGUUUGACAUGCAAGUGGUAGGAAACCGAAAGGUGACCGACCCUUCGGGGAGCUUGCACAGGUGCUGCAUGGCUGUCGUCAGCUCGUGUCGUGAGAUGUUCGGUUAAGUCCGCUAACGAGCGCAACCCUCGCUGUGUGUUACAAGUGUCACACGGUGCUGCCGGUCUUAAGCCGGAGGAAGGUGGGGAUGACGUCAAGUCAGCAUGGCCUUUAUGUCCUGGGCUACACACACGCUACAAUGGCCAACACAAUAGGUUGCUAAGCCGCGAGGUGGAGCCAAUCCUCAAAGUUGGCCUCAGUUCAGAUUGUAGGCUGCAACCCGCCUGCAUGAAGAUGG
rnacentral:rRNA from 1 species